GAGAGAGAGGUAAAUGAAGGGGGAAGAAAAAGAAGUGUAGCAAGGUACUUUGGAAGACCUGGAGCGCAAGGGAAAUAUAAAGAUAAAAACAAGGGAAAUUCAAGAAGCACGAAGAAGCUUACAAGCUUAGGUACUUGAAGAAGGAAUCGAGGACGUCGGGCCGAAUCUCGUAUAUAAUAAAAAGAAGGGGAAAGCACUCGCUGACAAUUGAAAAUAUCGGCAAAGAUUAACGGGAGCUGAGUGGGGAAGGAACCAGGCUAAAUAAGGAUCAAGGUAGUGUAAUAGAUCUAGAGCUAUGUAAAUCUAUGCAAGGAAAUUUUGUAUCAA